ACCUGUCAGAGCUUUGAGACUAACUCAGAUGCCAGUUUGUUGGGCAGCCUUGGCAACACUGGGGUGUUGGACACACAAAUCAACUCUUUUCUUCCCCAUGGGGAAGCUGAGGGCUGGGAUUUUUCAUCUGUUUUUCAUUUUUCAACCGUUUGCUUUGUGCUGAAUAGAAUUAAGGUCUACCAGCCCAACCCAACAUCGCUAUUUGUACCCAGUGACUAGAUUUUACUGGACCUGUCAAAACUCCACAACUGGCAAGACUGAAGUCAGCAUUCAAGCUUCUUCAGGAAAUUUGAGGUCACCGAGGCUCUUUUCUUUCAGCCUUUUUCUCCCUGUGCUUCAUUUUUCCAGGCAUUUUUAAAAAGUCAGAAAAGCAAGUGACAUACCAACAAAAUGCAACGAGC